rnacentral:rRNA from 1 species
GGGUGCUAUCAUCAAUUUUAAUGCACUAUCUUAUAUCAUAACUCCAUACUUAAGAAUUCUUGGCUUGGAGUGGUACUAGGAUGGGUAACCUCUAAGUAAGUCCCAAUGUUGCACCCU